rnacentral:rRNA from 1 species
GACGAACGCUGGCGGCGUGCUUAACACAUGCAAGUCGAACGGAAAGGCCCUGCUUUUGUGGGGUGCUCGAGUGGCGAACGGGUGAGUAACACGUGAGUAACCUGCCCUUGACUUUGGGAUAACUUCAGGAAACUGGGGCUAAUACCGGAUAGGAGCUCCUGCUGCAUGGUGGGGGUUGGAAAGUUUCGGCGGUUGGGGAUUGACUCGCGGCUUAUCAGCUUGUUGGUGGGGUAGUGGCUUACCAAGGCUUUGACGGGUAGCCGGCCUGAGAGGGUGACCUGCCACAUGGGGACUGAGAUACGGCCUAUACUCCUACGGGAGGCAGCAGUGGGGAAUAUUGCACAAUGGGCGGAAGCCUGAUGCAGCAACGCCGCGUGCGGGAGGACGGCCUUCGGGUUGUAAACCGCUUUCGCCUGUGACGAAGCGUGAGUGACGGUAAUGGGUAAAGAAGCACCGGCUAACUACGUG